AUUAGGAUUUCUAGGUCAUAUGGCAACUCUUUUUUUUUAAUUUUUUGAGAAACUGCCAAACUGUUUUCAAAAGUUUGAAUCAUUUUAUAUUUCCACCAGGAAU
rnacentral:pre_miRNA from 1 species